GAAGGGGGGAGUGAGGGGUGGAGAUCUUGUUAGACCACUUGGAGUUCGGAAAAGAAUUGGCAUAUGAUUUGACAUAUUUGGUCUAUUGAGGGCUUUAUAGUGUUUAGGACUGUAGCACAGAAGAUGUAAUUCAUUUUAAAUGGCCUCUCCUUGGUGCAAUGAAAGUACCUUGUGCUUGCCUUGCUGGGUACUUGAGUCAGGUGUGUCGAGUCAAUGUUGCUGUAAGCUGAUUUUUUUUAUUGAGAUCUUGGCAGAGUAACUUGAUCUUGUAUUUUGUGUUUUAUUUUCAUGCUUAGCCAAAGAGACCAUAGAUUAUGUGUUUUCAGUUCUGAGUAUUCAGGGCAGUCUUUAAUGGGGUUUUCUCUGUAGAAUAUGCCUGUCUGUCUUCAUCUUUUGUCAUAUUUAUCUUUUUGAAAUAUGUGAUUUUGUUGAACUUACAAUGAUGAGAGCUGUUUCUGUGGCUUUUUUGUCAAGAAAUAAUUAAGCAUGCCGACUCUGGAGCUGCUUUGAGGCCAUUUUCUCUGGCCCUUCAGCUGUCCAUUUGUUGGUGGAAGUUUUCUUGAUAUAUCAAACUUUCAGUCUGUGGAUUUUCCGAUUAGCUUCUGUGUAUGCUGAGUGAGUGAGAACCUGACAUUAUUAUGUUGAACUUCCAAUGAUGAGAGCUGUUUCUGUGGCUUUUUUGUGUCUAGAAAUAGUUAAGCAUGUUGACUAUGAAGCUAUUUUGAGGUCAUUUUCUCUGGCCCGUCAGCUGUUUUCCAUUUGUUGGUGGAAGUUUGCAUAAUAUAUCUAAUUUUCAUUCACUGUUUUUGUCCCACUAGCUUCUGCUUGUGCUGAGUGAGUAGGAACCUGACAUUUCUUAUGAAAAUUUAUUAAUGAUUGAUAAGUUCAAUGAGUGCAGAUUUGUUAGUGGAAGUAUGAUGCCUGUGGGGGACGAACAAAUUCUCUUGGCUAAGAAAGUGGCUUUAAGGGAGUUGCCAAAUGAAUCUAAGAACAUAACUAACAAGCCACUUUUGACCUCUCUUCCCAAGGAUUGUGGGAAGGGAUUAACCCAUGAAUCUGGGAAGGUGGUUGGAACCAAGAGGCAGCAACCUGAUGGUCCACCUAGUCCUUCCGGUAAUCUGCCCCAAGUAAAAGUUUCUCCACUUGCAAAUCUGGUGUAUACACGUAGGAAGCUUGAGACUGAACAAGGCAAGAUGGGUGCUUGUGUCUAUAUCGAUCAUGCUGAAUCUCCAGAAUUAAGGAAGCUAAGCAGUAACUGCACAAAAAGGCUUAAUAUGCAGAAAGAACUGAUUCAGGAGCCUAAGGUGGUUUCUUCUUUAUCAUAUGUUUCUGAUGCAAUUACAUCCCCGGCCACAUCGUCUAUGGGGCUAUCAUUUCCCCAUUCACAUGGGAAAUCCAUCUCUAGAUUGGCAGGUCCAGAACCACAAGAUUCGGCCAUUGCUGCUGAGUGUCCUUUUCUUGCCGAUCCUCACAAAGUGCAUAAGGUUGGAAAGACAGGUUCCUUAGGCUGCAGAUGUUCCUAAAGACCUGUGAUCAGUCAUACCAGGAAGAUUAUAUCCAAAUGCUACGAUCUUUAUCUGCCAUUGGCCGGAGUAGGCAUGCUGUUGAAUUGGAGAAAAGAGCCAUACAUCUCUUGUUGGAGGAAGGGAAGGAGUUGCAACGUAUGAAAGCUCUGAAUGUUCUUGGCAAAUCUCAACCAAAUGAUCAUGCAUCCAUUCUAAGUCAGACACCUCUCGCGAGCAGAGCUCCAGAGCGGUAAAUACUUCCCAUUCGAGUGUGAAAGAGAAUGUACACUUAAGGAAUUUUCAUAUCCAUCUACUGUGCAGGAACCUUGUGCAGUUAUUUUAGUUAGAUUACAGCAUGAAGUUUAGAUUAAUGCUUGUUGUUCCAUCAGAUUUUGUAAACUUAAGCCAUGGGUUUGUGUAAGUAACUUGUAGAUGCUUAUUAUCAGAUAAUAAGUACCCUAAUUUCAUUUA